UAGUAGUUUUGAUGAAUUUAACGGAUUUGGCGGCAAGAUAGCUCUUUAGAGGAACCUGCCCUGUAAACGAUGGACCACGAUAGCCUUACUUUUUUUAAUAAUUAGCUUGUAUACCGCUGUUGUCAGUUAAGUUUUAAGAGAAUAUUUUCGGAUAUGAUAAGGUCAUUGACUUCAAGUAAAGGUGCAGCUUAUAGAAAAGAUAGAGGUGGGUUACAUUUAAAAGAUUUAACGGAUAGAAUAAAUUAAAUUAGUUUUUGAAGAUGGAUUUAACUGUAAAGCUUAAGAAAGUUUGAUGAAAGCUCUAUUUUGUGUACACACCGCCCGUCGCUC
rnacentral:rRNA from 1 species